rnacentral:rRNA from 1 species
GAAUGGCUCGGUGAGGCCUUCGGACUGGCCCAGGGAGGUCGGCAACGACCACCCAGGGCCGGAAAGUUGGUCAAACCCGGUCAUUUAGAGGAAGUAAAAGUCGUAACAAGGUCUCCGUAGGUGAACCUGCGGAGGGAUCAUU